GGCCAGCAUCGAUUCGGAUGGCAAGAUAAUGGCAGUUGAAUGUGGCUUCACUUCGGUGGAGUGUUAUAGCUUCUGCUNAUAUUGCCUGUCUGGAGUNGAGGGCUGCGUCUUUUGACUAGGAUGCUGNCGUAAU
rnacentral:rRNA from 1 species